rnacentral:rRNA from 1 species
GACGAACGCUGGCGGCGUGCCUAAUACAUGCAAGUAGAGCGCUGAAGGAGGAGCUUGCUUCUCUGGAUGAGUUGCGAACGGGUGAGUAACGCGUAGGUAACCUGCCUGGUAGCGGGGGAUAACUAUUGGAAACGAUAGCUAAUACCGCAUAAGAGUAGAUGUUGCAUGACAUUUGCUUAAAAGGUGCAAUUGCAUCACUACCAGAUGGACCUGCGUUGUAUUAGCUAGUUGGUGAGGUAACGGCUCACCAAGGCGACGAUACAUAGCCGACCUGAGAGGGGGAUCGGCCACACUGGGACUGAGACACGGCCCAGACUCCUACGGGAGGCAGCAGUAGGGAAUCUUCGGCAAUGGACGGAAGUCUGACCGAGCAACGCCGCGUGAGUGAAGAAGGUUUUCGGAUCGUAAAGCUCUGUUGUAAGAGAAGAACGAGUGUGAGAGUGGAAAGUUCACACUGUGACGGUAUCUUACCAGAAAGGGACGGCUAACUACGUG